rnacentral:rRNA from 1 species
AGAUUGAACGCUGGCGGCAGGCCUAACACAUGCAAGUCGAGCGGCAGCACGGGUACUUGUACCUGGUGGCGAGCGGCGGACGGGUGAGUAAUGCCUAGGAAUCUGCCUGGUAGUGGGGGAUAACGCUCGGAAACGGACGCUAAUACCGCAUACGUCCUACGGGAGAAAGCAGGGGACCUUCGGGCCUUGCGCUAUCAGAUGAGCCUAGGUCGGAUUAGCUAGUUGGUGAGGUAAUGGCUCACCAAGGCGACGAUCCGUAACUGGUCUGAGAGGAUGAUCAGUCACACUGGAACUGAGACACGGUCCAGACUCCGUACGGGAGGCAGCAGUGGGGAAUAUUGGACAAGUGGGACGAAAGCCUGAUCCAGCCAUGCCGCGUGUGUGAAGAAGGUCUUCGGAUU